GAUGAACGCUGACAGAAUGCUUAACACAUGCAAGUCUACUUGAACUUCGGUUUGGGUGGCGGACGGGUGAGUAACGCGUAAAGAACUUGCCUCACAGAUAGGGACAACAUUUGGAAACGAAUGCUAAUACCUGAUAUUAUGAUUUUAGGGCAUCCUAGAAUUAUGAAAGCUAUGUGCACUGUGAGAGAGCUUUGCGUCCCAUUAGCUAGUUGGAGAGGUAACGGCUCACCAAGGCGAUGAUGGGUAGCCGGCCUGAGAGGGUGAUCGGCCACAAGGGGAUGGGGAACGGCCCCUUCCGCCAGCGGGGGCAAGGGGUGGAAAAUUUUGGAAAAGGGACCAAGAGUCUGAUCAAGCAUUUCGGUGUGAAAAAAAAAUUUUUUGGGAAUGAAAAUUUUUUUGAUUAGAAAAAAAAAAAAUGACGGUACAAAAAGAAGAAGCGCCGGCUAAAUACGUG
rnacentral:rRNA from 1 species